rnacentral:lncRNA from 1 species
GUGCUGGCUGUCCCUGGUGACAGACUGCAGCCCAGCCAUAGCCUGGGGGAGGGAGUGGGUUGCAGCAGAUGUGCACAUCUGGAUCACCUGCCCCUAACCCAGCACACUCCAACUUCUCCAUGGCUUUGGCUUCCACAGGACAUUUCUCGGGGUGGCCUCCUCUCUGAGGAAGACAGCUACCUUGAAUCGCACAGCUGCAAGAAUAUGAACUUUGCCAACAACCUGAGACAGCCUGAAAGCAGCUCCUUACCUAACCGAGCCUCCAGAUGAGACCCAGUCCUGGCUGACAUCUUGACUGCAGCCUUGAGAGGACCCAGUUAAGCUGUGCCUCGACUCCUGAGCCACAGAAACUGUGAGAUAAUAGAUGGAUGUUAUUUUAAGCUGCUAAGUUUCUGAUAAUUUGUUACACAGUGUAGAGAACUAAUAUACUGGUACUACUCUCUAUUUUCAACAAUAUCUAUUCUCAACACAGCAGCCAGAGGAUCCUGUUAAUAUGUACGUCUUUUUCUAUUUAAAACAGUCUGGGGUCUUCCCCAACACAGAGCAAUAGCCACAGUUACACCACAGCUCACAUGGCCACACACACACUGUCUCACUGGCCUGGCCUCCUACUGCUUUCUCCUGGCUCACUUGAUUGAUACUGGCCACCUUUUCAAUUCCCCAACAUGCCAGGCAUGCUCCCUGGGCCUUGGUUUCCUCUGUCUGGAAUACUCUUCCUUCCAGUAUCCAUGCAGCUCACUCCCUCAGCUCUUGCACAUCUUUGCUCAAAUGUCAUUCUCUUGAUGAGGCCUUCCCUUUUUAUUCCCAAUAAAAAAAUUGCAAUACUCCUCCUACUCCACCACUCUUCACUGUCAUGUCCUGCUUUUCUUUUCUCCAUAGUACUUAAACCAUCUGACAUACUAUAUGUUUUACCUAUUUGUUUAUUGGCUAUCUCUCCACAGCAGGACAUAAGCUCCCUAAAUGCAGGAACUUUUUUAUCAGCUUUUUCCAUUGCUUUAUCUCCAGUGUUUAGAGCAGGUCUGACACAUAAUACAUAUUCGGUAAAUAUUUGUUGAAAUAAAUUUCAAAUAUUUAUAUGAAAUCUGCUCUUAGAUUAUAUUUCCAGCCAUAUUGUAAAAUCUUCCAUUUAAGUAUAAUAUAGGCAUCAUCAAAAAAACCUCAAGACUAUUAUUUACAUUAUCUGCUCUAACAACAAAGACAUGGACCAUUUCAGGAAAAUCACUUUCUACUGUAGAAGAAAACCACAUCAAUCCAAUUCAGUGAAAUCCACCACAUAUCCAAAUUUCCCUUUCAUUAUAUGGAUCUGAAAGCCGAACUCUGCUACCCUAAGAGUAGGCUGCUCAAUAAUGAGCUGGCAGAAAACUGAAGCACCAAAAUCAAGACACUUUCUAUACAACAAUGGUGUUCUCAAAGUAAAGUUCUAUCAACUUUCUCUAUGAUUGUAAAAUGAGAAAGCUGUUUCUUUAAGCAAUUUUAAGAGUAAGCUUUGGCAGCACCCACUUAUCACUAACUGGCAGAACUAAAUAUCUAAGAUCUUGAAUCUAGAAUCUCUACCAAUAUCUGUUGGGCAGCAGGAGUUGAGGCAUGAUCCCAUGGCCCAGCACCAUACUGAACAGGACUUGUGGGGCAGGGAGGUAGCAAGACCCAGGAGCUGCUGUGUGGCAAGCAGAAGUCCAAUAAUUGCACAUACCUAGAGAAUAAUCACCGGAAAAGACAGAGGACAGAGCCCUGGUGUAGUGGAAAGAGAGUGGACCUUGGAGUCAGAAAGACCUGCUUUGUUUGAAUCCAAACUCUGCUCCUGACCCCUCACCUUAGGAAAACUACACUACCUCAAUUUCAUUU